rnacentral:tRNA from 1 species
AGCUCAGCUGGGAGAGCGCGUGGUUCGCAAUCACGAGGUCAGGGGUUCGAUCCCCCUA